rnacentral:rRNA from 1 species
GCUUUACACAUGCAAGUCGAACGGCAGCGGGGGCUUCGGCCUGCCGGCGAGUGGCGAACGGGUGAGUAAUGCAUCGGAACGUGCCCAUGUCGUGGGGGAUAACGUAGCGAAAGCUACGCUAAUACCGCAUACGUCCUGAGGGAGAAAGCGGGGGAUCUUCGGACCUCGCGCGAUUGGAGCGGCCGAUGUCGGAUUAGCUAGUAGGUGAGGUAAAGGCUCACCUAGGCGACGAUCCGUAGCGGGUCUGAGAGGAUGAUCCGCCACACUGGGACUGAGACACGGCCCAGACUCCUACGGGAGGCAGCAGUGGGGAAUUUUGGACAAUGGGCGCAAGCCUGAUCCAGCCAUGCCGCGUGAGUGAAGAAGGCCUUCGGGUUGUAAAGCUCUUUCGGCCGGGAAGAAAUCGUGGUCUCUAACAUAGGCCAUGGAUGACGGUACCGGACUAAGAAGCACCGGCUAACUACGUGCCAGCAGCCGCGGUAAUACGUAGGGUGCGACCGUUA